UCGGCCGCCGAAGGUAAUGUUCGGCCGCCGAAAGAGCCUGACUUUCGUCUCUGGAGAGAGGGUUCGACCGCCGAAGGUGCCGCCGAAGGUACCCGAGUUUCGUCUCUGGAGAGAGGGUUCGGCCGCCGAAGGUGCCGCCGAAAGUGCCUGUCCAGCCUUUUCAUGGCUGUUUCCUAUGCAUGUUUCAGUGAUGUUUAGAGGGGUUUUUGGGGAGUUGCUUAUGAG
rnacentral:lncRNA from 1 species